rnacentral:ncRNA from 12 species
UAAAUUUGAGGAUAGAAAAGUCAGCUAUCGCCCUUGUUAGGAGAUGUAGGAGUGACGCCCUACCAAAUUAU